GGCAGAGCACCUUGCUAACUCGAAGAGAGCCUGCUCCGACUAUCGACACACGAUACACGAGCCUCUCCUAUUCACGAGACCAAGCAAAGGAACUUUGAACAAGCUACUGAGAACUUCCUCUGACAAACAAUAUUCUUCUGAGCUUUCAGUUCAAGAACGUUGCCUCUGAAAUUUACAGAAGCCAAAUAUAUAGCCAAUUGCACUGAAUGCUAAAGGUCAGGUCUCAACUGCCACGAAUAAUCGAUUAUUGUAAGUGAUAAUCGAAUAUUCAAGUCCGUUACAGGCUUUUCAAAAAGUGAUAAUCGAUUAUAUCAAAUGAUAAUCGAUUAUUCCUUAAGGACUUGUGAUAAUCGAUUAUUGCUUGUCCAUAAUUGAUUAUACUAGUUCAGAAUACAAGUGAUAAUCGAUUGUUACUUGUUCGUAAUCGAUUAUUCCAGUAGAAAAUGCAAGGUUUACAAUUUAUUUAAGACUUUCCUACUACAUUCAAUUUCUACAAGUUGCUUUUUAAAUAAUUCUAAUGUCCUCUUCAAAUAACACUUCUUGCAGCAUCAUCAAAACAAUUCUUCAAGAUUUACCAAUACUCCUUAUUGGUAACA
rnacentral:lncRNA from 1 species